GCAAGUCGAGCGAGACGGUUAUGAUUGAUACUUCGGGGGAGAGAUCAACCAGAAAGCGGCGGACGGGUGAGUAACGCGUGGGUAACCUACCACAUACACAGGGAUAGCCAUUGGAAACGAAGAUUAAUACCUGAUAAUACAUUUUUAACACAUGUUAUGAAUGUCAAAGAUUUAUCGGUAUGGGAUGGACCCGCGUCUGAUUAGCUAGUUGGUAAGGUAACGGCUUACCAAGGCGACGAUCAGUAGCCGGCCUGAGAGGGUGAUC
rnacentral:rRNA from 1 species